GGGAAGAGAAGAAGAACGAUACCUGAUUUUUGGGUUUCUUCUUUAUCCCGAAUCCAAGCGAAGAAGGAGAAAAGGUCAUCAGAAGAAGAAGAAGAAGUUUAUGCUCCGUGCCAAAACAGAAUAGUUGUUUCAUAGAAGAAGAAUAAGAAGAAUGUCGUCGUAUUUGGGAUUUGGGAAGGCUUCAGGACCAGUGCACCUCCCAAAUUUAAACCCUUAAAGCUUUAUCUUUUUAGUGGGUUUUGUACUCACAUUGAAAUGGGAUGAGGAAUUUGAAUCAAUUUGCAUUUAACCCUUUCCCUUGCUUGUUUU
rnacentral:lncRNA from 1 species